GAACAGUCUUAACGCCAGUUGAUCUAUUCAAUCUGAUUUCAUCUAUCAUCUCGCACUCGGAUUUCUCUAUCUUUAUUUAUCUAUUACCUCUAAUUUAUAACUUUAAAAUGUUUGACUGUUUUCCCGCUUUGAUCAGUAUGAGCAAAAUUCUUGAGCGGAACCAUAAAAGUUGCUAUUCCUCACAAGACAAUGUUGCUGAGAACGAAACACAGGUGAUAUUUCAGAAUUACCGAGCCUCAUCAAAAUUCUGUUUGCAUUUUUGUGUUUGUAUGUGCUGGUGGUGGUAUGAGCGUCUACUGACUGUUAUACUUGAUGGUAUAUAUCCUCUAAGCAUGCAUGUUGGUUGGAGUCAAAUGCAAAAUCAUAGGAUCAGAAUUUAAGAUUACCAUAUGUAUUUGAGAGCACAGCUGAUGAAAAUUUUACCGAUUGCAAAUGAUAAAUGUUACGAGCAUGGGAAAAGCAUAACCAAUUUUAAAUCAGCUUGUCAGGUAUGCAUUGAUUCCAGAUUCAAACCAUCACUUCCGUUUAGUAUGUUGUUUAUCAUUUGUGAUCAUAGCACUGUCACUGUCAGGCGGUGUUACUAUUGUGAAUGUUAUGCGAGAAAGCAAAGAAAAUUCUAAUGGGAGAAAGCAAAGUUAAGGUGAAGAUUUUGGUUUGUCCUUUAGCUUUCAAUAAUUUCACUGCUAAUUAGGGGUUUUUCUUCA